rnacentral:rRNA from 1 species
GUGUCAGCAGCCGCGGUAAUACAGAGGUCUCAAGCGUUGUUCGGAAUCACUGGGCGUAAAGGGUGCGUAGGUGGCGUGGAAAGUCAGAUGUGAAAUCCGGAGGCUCAACCUCCGAAUUGCAUCCGAUACUCCCAUGCUAGAGAACUGGAGGGGAGUCUGGAAUUCUCGGUGUAGCAGUGAAAUGCGUAGAUAUCGAGAGGAACACUAGUGGCGAAGGCGAGACUCUGGACAGUUUCUGACACUGAUGCACGAAGGUCAGGGGAGCAAACGGGAUUAGAUACCCCCGUAGUCC